GACGAACGCUGGCGGCGUGCUUAACACAUGCAAGUCGAACGGAAAGGCCCUGCUUUUGUGGGGUGCUCGAGUGGCGAACGGGUGAGUAACACGUGAGUAACCUGCCCUUGACUUUGGGAUAACUUCAGGAAACUGGGGCUAAUACCGGAUAGGAGCUCCUGCUGCAUGGCGGGGGUUGGAAAGUUUCGGCGGUUGGGGAUGGACUCGCGGCUUAUCAGCUUGUUGGUGGGGUAGUGGCUUACCAAGGCUUUGACGGGUAGCCGGCCUGAGGGGGUGACCGGCCACAUUGGGACUGAGAUACGGCCCAGACUCCUACGGGAGGCAGCAGUGGGGAAUAUUGCACAAUGGGCGGAAGCCUGAUGCAGCAACGCCGCGUGCGGGAUGACGGCCUUCGGGUUGUAAACCGCUUUCGCCUGUGACGAAGCGUGAGUGACGGUAAUGGGUAAAGAAGCACCGGCUAACUACGUG
rnacentral:rRNA from 1 species